AUAAUGAACCGUUGAUGAGGGCACUGUCAAAACUUAUUUACCUUAACAAUCCUGUUCUCGUCUUGUUUGUUGGAAAUGAUGCCGUUGAUCAACUUUCAAAAUUCAAUCAGAAAUUAGUGGACCUUUCGACUUCAGCUAGUCCAAGACUGAGAUGGGAUCUUGCUCACAAAGUUAGAUCCUAUUGAUGAUAAGGUUGGAGCUGCACUAUCAAGCAUAUUACGAAUUUGCCAAAAAGAGGAUAGUGCUCCUGAUACAAUAUUAGUAUACAAGUGUCUGUGUUUGAACAAAUGAACUCUUAACCUUCUGUUACAAUGGAAAUUGAUCAGCUUGAGCUUUGAAAAUGAUGAAGAGGUAAAUUAGGAAAUAGAGCAGGUUUCUAAAAGAAAGAAAGAAAGAAAGAAUUGCUCGUAUGUAGUUUGUCAUGCUGCAAGGCAUUGUUUUACCAAUCUGUAUCAGCAGUUGUAGUAACUAUCUUGGCACAGAAAAGUAGAUGAUUUCUGAUUACAAGCCGUAGUUCAAUCCAAAAUGUAUUCUGACACACUGAGCUAAGAAGAAAUUCCCUAGCAUACUUGCUUUAGUCAGAAACACAGUUUUGCAAA